UAGGACAACAAAUCGUUUAUUUGGAAAAGAAGAACUACAAUGUCGUCAAUAAAAUUAGCUAUAUUUUGCAUUAUCCUCCUUUCUUUCGUUAGUCUUCAUGAUUGUAUGUCUAAAGGUUUAGUUUUCGUUCAAUUUUUAUCAUCAUUAUCAUUAUAACCAUCGUCAUAUCAUCCAUAGUGUUUUAAUUGGUUUGUUCUUUAAUUUUUUAUAUAUAGGUUUCGCAAUAAAUUUCAUGCCGUGCAAAAAAGGAGUUGCUGGUGACUGGUGCUGCACUAAAGGAGGGUUAAUAUGCGUAAAGGACCAUGCAGAAUGUGCGCAAAGCUGCAUUUAACAGGCUAAACCUUAAUAAACCAAAUUGUAAUUUUCUUUAAAAAAUAAUUUUUAAUAAAGACAAUCUUGCCCUUACUAGCAAGAUGGAGUAUAUAAACCUAUAAACCAAAUCCAUAGAUAAUUUUUUUUUUUUGGUAAAAUGUUAAAUACAUCCAUAGAUAAUUUGGUUAUUUUAAGUGUAUAUGUGUAAUUUUUUUAUAUAUUAUUGUGCAAAUGUGAUAUUUUCUUAUCACUUAUCAAAUUUAUGUUUGUACACGCAUUAACGUUUAU
rnacentral:lncRNA from 1 species